AUCCUUCUGUAGUUCCUAAGUGUGACGAUUGGGUGUUCCCACUUUGGUGUGACAUGUGCCUCCCACAAACCUGGCUACAACAUCGGCACUUUACCCAGAUGACC